GACGAACGCUGGCGGCGUGCCUAAUACAUGCAAGUAGGACGCAGCGGCGGACGGGUGAGUAAUGCCUAGGAAUCUGCCUGGUAGUGGGGGAUAACGUCCGGAAACGGGCGCUAAUACCGCAUACUAUCAGAUGAGCCUAGGUCGGAUUCGCUAGUGGGGGGGGUAACGGCCUACCAAGGCGACGAUCCGUAACUGGUCUGAGAGGAUGAGCAGUCACCCUGGAAAUGAGCCACGGUCCAGACUCCUACGGGAGGCAGCAGUGGGGAAUAUUGGACAAUGGGCGAAAGCCUGAUCCAGCCAGGCCGCGUGUGUGAAGAAGGCCUUCGGAUUGUAAAGCACUUUAAGUGGGGAGGCGUUACCAACAGAAUAAGCACCGGCUAACUACGUGCCAGCAGCCGCGGUAAUAC
rnacentral:rRNA from 1 species